UACGGGAGGCAGCAGUGGGGAAUAUUGCACAAUGGGGGAAACCCUGAUGCAGCCAUGUCCGCGUGUGUGAAGAAGGCCUUCGGGUUGUAAAGCACUUUCAGUAGGGAGGAAGGUAGUGUAGUUAACACCUGCAUUAUUUGACGUUACCUACAGAAGAAGCACCGGCUAACUCCGUGCCAGCAGCCGCGGUAAUACGGAGGGUGCGAGCGUUAAUCGGAAUUACUGGGCGUAAAGCGCAUGCAGGCGGCCUGUUAAGUCAGAUGUGAAAGCCCGGGGCUUAACCUCGGAAUUGCAUUUGAAACUGGCAGGCUAGAGUCUUGUAGAGGGGGUAGAAUUUCAGGUGUAGCGGUGAAAAUGCGUAGAGAUCUGAAGGAAUACCAGUGGCGAAGGCGGCCCCCUGGACAAAGACUGACGCUCAGAUGCGAAAGCGUGGGGAGCAAACAGGAUUAGAUACCCUGGUAG
rnacentral:rRNA from 1 species